CAUAUAUCAGCUGUUAUAUGGCCGUCAAAUUUAUUUAAAACUCGUGUUGUGUAAAAUUUACUUCGGCACAUAAAUUAUUGAUCGUAUUCAGAAUUCACAAAUUUUUGGCUGCAUUUAACUUAAACAGAGCAAAAUGGCUUUAUCACCUGGUGUAAAGGAACGUUUAGAAGUGGUUUAUGACGUCGCAAAGACCACGUUCCACUGGGGAUUCAUUCCGAUGGUUAUUUACUUAGGUUUCCGUAAAGGCGCUGAACCCGGCAUGCCACCACUAUCGCUACUGAGCUUGCUUUGGCAAUAAAUCACACUUUUGCAACUUUACGGGGCGGGGGAUUCUUAACUGGACACUUUAUGGUACCGAAGUGUUAUCGGUAUACACUAUGUGCUUUACUCUUGGAAACAAAUUUGUAUACAUAAAAAACAUCGAAUUCAUAUUUAAGGAACACGUUGAAAAAAGAAAAGUAAAGUGAUAACACUGAUUGAAUAAACUGCAGGAAAAUGUUAGAGCAA